UAUGACGCUGUCGGGCAGGCCUAACACAUGCAAGCCGAACGGUAGUCGACAACGAGAGCUUUGCUCUCGGGUGACGAGUGGCGGACGGGUGAGUAAUGUCUGGGAAACUGCCCGAUGAGGGGAUAACUACUGGAAACGUAGCUAAUACCGCAUAAUGUCGCAAGACCAAAGAGGGGGACCUUUCGGGCCUCUUUGCCAUCGGAUGUGCCCAGAUGGGAUUUAGCUUGUAGGUGAGGUAACGGCUCACCUAGGCGACGAUCCCUAGCUGGUCUGAGAGGAUGACCAGCCACACUGGAACUGAGACACGGUCCAGACUCCUACGGGAGGCAGCAGUGGGGAAUAUUGCACAAUGGGCGCAAGCCUGAUGCAGCCAUGCCGCGUGUAUGAAGAAGGCCUUCGGGUUGUAAAGUACUUUCAGCGGGAGGAAGGGAGUGAGGUUAAUAACCUUAUUCAUUGACGUUACCCGCAGAAGAAGCACCGGCUAACUCCGUG
rnacentral:rRNA from 1 species